rnacentral:rRNA from 1 species
GACGAACGCUGGCGGCGUGCUUAACACAUGCAAGUCGAGCGGUAAGGCUCCUUCGGGAGUACCCGAGCGGCGAACGGGUGAGUAACACGUGAGUAAUCUGCCCUUCACUUCGGGAUAACCACCGGAAACGGUGGCUAAUACCGAAUACGACCAGUCUUCGCAUGAGGUGCUGGUGGAAAGUCUUUUCGGUGAAGGAUGUGCUCGCGGCCUAUCAGCUUGUUGGUGGGGUAAUGGCCUACCAAGGCUUCGACGGGUAGCCGGCCUGAGAGGGUGACCGGCCACACUGGGACUGAGACACGGACCAGACUCCUACGGGAGGAAGCAGUGGGGAAUAUUGGAAAAUGGGCGAAAGCCUGAUGCAGCAACGCCGCGUGAGGGAUGACGGCCUUCGGGUUGUAAACCUCUUUCAGUACCGACGAAGAGCCCUGUCGGGUGGUGACGGUAGGUACAGAAGAAGGACCGGCCAACUACGUG